UACGUAGGGUGCAAGCGUUAAUCGGAAUUACUGGGCGUAAAGCGUGCGCAGGCGGUUUUGUAAGUCUGACGUGAAAUCCCCGGGCUUAACCUGGGAAUUGCGUUGGAGACUGCAAGGCUGGAGUCUGGCAGAGGGGGGUAGAAUUCCACGUGUAGCAGUGAAAUGCGUAGAGAUGUGGAGGAACACCGAUGGCGAAGGCAGCCCCCUGGGUCAAGACUGACGCUCAUGCACGAGAGCGUGGGGAGCAAACAGG
rnacentral:rRNA from 1 species